CACCAAACAAGUUAUAAAUAGUAGACAUUUGAUCCCUGAAAAAAUCACUCUUCAAAAAAUAUUUAGCUUUGAGGAGGUGAUAAGUCCAUUCAUAUUGGUCACCAAACGCCAUCUUUACUUGCAAAGCAUGGCUAAGUUAAAUGCCUGAAGAUUUCUGAACCUCAUACCACUCGUGUCCUAUGAAGCACUCACACAAACAUGAACACUUAGUAUGAUACCAACACAUAUACGUUAAUAAUAAUUUGAGAAAAUGAAAGUGAUUAUACAUAACCACAAUUGACAAUGUUGUUUUGAUAAAAAAGAAAUAGAUUCUUCCAAAAAAAAAAUCCAUUAAAAUUAAACAAUGUUCAAUAAAGCGACAAAGAUCUAUUAAUACACUAAUAUGUACAAACAUAUUUGUAUUCUGCUCAAACAAACUGACUUUCCAAAUCCAUUUUAUUCAUAUGCCACUAAACAAGUACUAGGCUACAGAGAAUUUCAACAAAGGAUUUGAAGAGAAAUAAGAACAAAAUGGCUUGAUUAAUUAGUUGUGGUGGUAGUAGGUUUGUGAAUAACAAAAGCCAUGGCUUGCAUGUGUCGCUUGUUGUCAAAUGCUAAGCAUCUUAUAUAUGCAUUUGGAUAUGUCUUUUUGCAUUCAUUAAUCUCAUUAAGCACUUGUGAAGAGUCGUUACAACCAAACAUUGGUAGCUUCCAUAAUGUCCAAUAUCUCCCAUCAUAGUAUCCUGGCAUCUGGCUAUUUGCUCUAUGAAUACACCCAAACUUCCAUUUCCAAACAAUACAAGUUCCAUGUUACUAACAAGAUAUACAAUACUUAGAAAACAAAAGCAUCAAAUGGAAAAACAAAAAUAUCCACUUCAUAGAAUAAAAUAAUGUUAUACAAAAGUUUUAUUGGAUCAUGACAUGCAUAUCGUUAGAUUAUUACCGUUUGUUUAUAUCGACUUAUAUGAGUUUAUCUAAUGACAUAAACACUAUAAGAUUCUUUGAGAAAUUUUAUAAAAAUAACUUAUAGAUUCUAUGAAAAUAAUUUGACUUUAUUUUAAUUUUUGCUAUAAAUGCUUAAUUAAAUUGUUUAGUCAAACAUGGCCUUAAACCUUAAUAUAUAUCAUAUGAAUCAAUAUCAAAGAGCUCUAGUAUAGUAGUAGUAUACCUUUUUUCUUUCUUUCUUUCUUUUAAUAAUAAUAAAAAAAACUACCUUAUGUGAUAAACUAGACUUAGGUCGAUCUAACCUCAUCAAAUUCAAGGCAAGGUGUCCAUCUCUUCUUGAGCAUGUAGUCAAUCUCCUUUGCAAUUGAGUCAUCAGAAAGGGGUGGUAGAUAGGAAAGUGUUUCAAAUUUCUUAUUAUUGAUGGGAUUCCAUGUCUGUUUUAAGUUACAAAAUUAUAUCACAAAUCAAAGCAUAUUAGAAAAGAAAAGAAAAAGACCAACAUGGGAGUACUAGUGCAUAUAUAACCAUGCUAUCAUAAUAUAUGGCUAUUGUAUAAGAUUACUUAACCUUCAUGCAGUGAAUUUUAGAACCAUUGGAGACAGUCUUCUUUUUCCAUUCAAUGGAAUAAGUAGCACUGGGCCAAAGACUUGAUGAGUUGGACUUCAAGCCCACAAAGCCAGGCCCAGCAACUGGAGCUGCAAAUGUUCCAGCAGACAUUUUAAUCAAAUAAAUGUCUGAUCUUUGAAGGAGGCAGAAUAGUUAAGAUGAAAGGAAGAAAGGAAUAGGCUUAGGUGAUCAUGAAUGAUAUGUUAAGUAAGUAAUUUAUAAGAAGACAGUGGGCACAAUAAAAUGGAGAUUUUAAUUAGGA
rnacentral:lncRNA from 1 species